rnacentral:tRNA from 1 species
AUUUAUAUAGUAUAAAUAAAUUAUAUUUGACUUCCAAUCAAAAGAACUGAUUAAAUUUAGUAUAAAUA